GGGUUGUGAGGUUAAGCGACUAAGCGUACACGGUGGAUGCCCUGGCAGUCAGAGGCGAUGAAGGACGUGCUAAUCUGCGAUAAGCGUCGGUAAGGUGAUAUGAACCGUUAUAACCGGCGAUUUCCGAAUGGGGAAACCCAGUGUGAUUCGUCACACUAUCAUUAACUGAAUCCAUAGGUUAAUGAGGCGAACCGGGGGAACUGAAACAUCUAAGUACCCCGAGGAAAAGAAAUCAACCGAGAUUCCCCCAGUAGCGGCGAGCGAACGGGGAGCAGCCCAGAGCCUGAAUCAGUGUGUGUGUUAGUGGAAGCGUCUGGAAAGGCGCGCGAUACAGGGUGACAGCCCCGUACACAAAAAUGCACAUACUGUGAGCUCGAUGAGUAGGGCGGGACACGUGGUAUCCUGUCUGAAUAUGGGGGGACCAUCCUCCAAGGCUAAAUACUCCUGACUGACCGAUAGUGAACCAGUACCGUGAGGGAAAGGCGAAAAGAACCCCGGCGAGGGGAGUGAAAAAGAACCUGAAACCGUGUACGUACAAGCAGUGGGAGCCUCUUAAUGGGGUGACUGCGUACCUUUUGUAUAAUGGGUCAGCGACUUAUAUUCUGUAGCAAGGUUAACCGAAUAGGGGAGCCGAAGGGAAACCGAGUCUUAACUGGGCGUUAAGUUGCAGGGUAUAGACCCGAAACCCGGUGAUCUAGCCAUGGGCAGGUUGAAGGUUGGGUAACACUAACUGGAGGACCGAACCGACUAAUGUUGAAAAAUUAGCGGAUGACUUGUGGCUGGGGGUGAAAGGCCAAUCAAACCGGGAGAUAGCUGGUUCUCCCCGAAAGCUAUUUAGGUAGCGCCUCGUGAAUUCAUCUCCGGGGGUAGAGCACUGUUUCGGCAAGGGGGUCAUCCCGACUUACCAACCCGAUGCAAACUGCGAAUACCGGAGAAUGUUAUCACGGGAGACACACGGCGGGUGCUAACGUCCGUCGUGAAGAGGGAAACAACCCAGACCGCCAGCUAAGGUCCCAAAGUCAUGGUUAAGUGGGAAACGAUGUGGGAAGGCCCAGACAGCCAGGAUGUUGGCUUAGAAGCAGCCAUCAUUUAAAGAAAGCGUAAUAGCUCACUGGUCGAGUCGGCCUGCGCGGAAGAUGUAACGGGGCUAAACCAUGCACCGAAGCUGCGGCAGCGACGCUUAUGCGUUGUUGGGUAGGGGAGCGUUCUGUAAGCCUGUGAAGGUGUACUGUGAGGUAUGCUGGAGGUAUCAGAAGUGCGAAUGCUGACAUAAGUAACGAUAAAGCGGGUGAAAAGCCCGCUCGCCGGAAGACCAAGGGUUCCUGUCCAACGUUAAUCGGGGCAGGGUGAGUCGACCCCUAAGGCGAGGCCGAAAGGCGUAGUCGAUGGGAAACAGGUUAAUAUUCCUGUACUUGGUGUUACUGCGAAGGGGGGACGGAGAAGGCUAUGUUGGCCGGGCGACGGUUGUCCCGGUUUAAGCGUGUAGGCUGGUUUUCCAGGCAAAUCCGGAAAAUCAAGGCUGAGGCGUGAUGACGAGGCACUACGGUGCUGAAGCAACAAAUGCCCUGCUUCCAGGAAAAGCCUCUAAGCAUCAGGUAACAUCAAAUCGUACCCCAAACCGACACAGGUGGUCAGGUAGAGAAUACCAAGGCGCUUGAGAGAACUCGGGUGAAGGAACUAGGCAAAAUGGUGCCGUAACUUCGGGAGAAGGCACGCUGAUAUGUAGGUGAAGCGACUUGCUCGUGGAGCUGAAAUCAGUCGAAGAUACCAGCUGGCUGCAACUGUUUAUUAAAAACACAGCACUGUGCAAACACGAAAGUGGACGUAUACGGUGUGACGCCUGCCCGGUGCCGGAAGGUUAAUUGAUGGGGUUAGCGGUAACGCGAAGCUCUUGAUCGAAGCCCCGGUAAACGGCGGCCGUAACUAUAACGGUCCUAAGGUAGCGAAAUUCCUUGUCGGGUAAGUUCCGACCUGCACGAAUGGCGUAAUGAUGGCCAGGCUGUCUCCACCCGAGACUCAGUGAAAUUGAACUCGCUGUGAAGAUGCAGUGUACCCGCGGCAAGACGGAAAGACCCCGUGAACCUUUACUAUAGCUUGACACUGAACAUUGAGCCUUGAUGUGUAGGAUAGGUGGGAGGCUUUGAAGUGUGGACGCCAGUCUGCAUGGAGCCGGCCUUGAAAUACCACCCUUUAAUGUUUGAUGUUCUAACGUUGGCCCCUGAUCGGGGUUGCGGACAGUGUCUGGUGGGUAGUUUGACUGGGGCGGUCUCCUCCUAAAGAGUAACGGAGGAGCACGAAGGUUGGCUAAUCCUGGUCGGACAUCAGGAGGUUAGUGCAAUGGCAUAAGCCAGCUUGACUGCGAGCGUGACGGCGCGAGCAGGUGCGAAAGCAGGUCAUAGUGAUCCGGUGGUUCUGAAUGGAAGGGCCAUCGCUCAACGGAUAAAAGGUACUCCGGGGAUAACAGGCUGAUACCGCCCAAGAGUUCAUAUCGACGGCGGUGUUUGGCACCUCGAUGUCGGCUCAUCACAUCCUGGGGCUGAAGUAGGUCCCAAGGGUAUGGCUGUUCGCCAUUUAAAGUGGUACGCGAGCUGGGUUUAGAACGUCGUGAGACAGUUCGGUCCCUAUCUGCCGUGGGCGCUGGAGAACUGAGGGGGGCUGCUCCUAGUACGAGAGGACCGGAGUGGACGCAUCACUGGUGUUCGGGUUGUCAUGCCAAUGGCACUGCCCGGUAGCUAAAUGCGGAAGAGAUAAGUGCUGAAAGCAUCUAAGCACGAAACUUGCCCCGAGAUGAGUUCUCCCUGACUCCUUGAGAGUCCUGAAGGAACGUUGAAGACGACGACGUUGAUAGGCCGGGUGUGUAAGCGCAGCGAUGCGUUGAGCUAACCGGUACUAAUGAACCGUGAGGCUUAACCUUACAACGCCGAAGGUGUUU
rnacentral:rRNA from 1 species